CUGGUUGAUCCUGCCAGAGGUCACUGCUAUCGGUGUUCGACUAAGCCAUGCGAGUCAAAUGUUCUUCGUGAACAUGGCGUACUGCUCANGUAACACGUGGAUAACCUGCCCUUAGGACUGGCAUAACCCCGGGAAACUGGGGAUAAUUCCGGAUAGUUCAUGGUAGCUGGAAUGCUCCAUGAUCGAAAGCUAUUGCGCCUAAGGAUGGGUCUGCGGUCUAUCAGGUAGUAGUGGGUGUAAUGUACCUACUAGCCGACGACGGAUACGGGUUGUGGGAGCAAGAGCCCGGAGAUGGAUUCUGAGACAUGAAUCCAGGCCCUACGGGGCGCAGCAGGCGCGAAAACUUUACAAUGCGGGAAACCGCGAUAAGGGGACACCGAGUGCCAGCAUCUUAUGUUGGCUGUCCGCAUGUAUAAAUCACAUGUGUUAGCAAGGGCCGGGCAAGACCGGUGCCAGCCGCCGCGGUAACACCGGCGGCCCGAGUGGUGGCCACUAUUAUUGGGUCUAAAGGGUCCGUAGCCGGUUUGGUCAGUCUUCCGGGAAAUCUGACGGCUUAACCGUUAGGCUUUCGGGGGAUACUACCA
rnacentral:rRNA from 1 species